AGAAUGAAUGAGUGUCGGAGUUGAGAAAUCACAGGGCAAGUACCUCUAUUGGCAGGCAGUCACUUAGACAUAUGUACUAAUUUUUCAAUUUGUCUAAGUGCAUUGUCUGCCAAAGGAGAUUUGCCCGGCGAUUCUUCCACUGCUUAUCGAAACAUGUUCCGUCU
rnacentral:pre_miRNA from 1 species